rnacentral:rRNA from 1 species
UGCAGAAUCCCGUGAACCAUCGAGUCUUUGAACGCAAGUUGCGCCCGAGGCCUCAUGGCCGAGGGCACGUCUGCCUGGGUGUCACGCAUCGUCGCCCCCGCACCCCUCGGAUCGCGAGGGUCGGGGCGGAUACUGGUCUCCCGCGUGCUUCCGCUCGCGGCUGGCCCAAAAACGAGUCCCCGGCGACGGUCGCCACGACGAGCGGUGGUUGCGAGACCCUCGGACACGGUCGUGCGCGUGCCCGUCGCCCUCGGGAGCUCCCGGACCCUCCGGCGUCGUUUCCUGCGAUGCCCUCGCUGCGACCCCAGGUCAGGCGGGACUACCCGCUGAGUUUAAGCAUAUCAAUAAGCGGAGGAAAAGAAACUUACGAGGAUUCCCCUAGUAACGGCGAGCGAACCGGGAAAGGCCCAGCUUGAGAAUCGGGCGCCCGCGGCGUCCGA